AGACACACUCUAGUGGACACUGGAGGAACUGCGGUUUUUGAGUAGUCUCUCAGGAGUUCCCUCUGACCCUGUCGGCCUCUCAUCCUGCACUCACUUGACCCCUGACCCACAACAACACGAUAGCUGCUUUGGUUCUCGUGCUGCACUCUGAUUGGUGAAUCAUGCUACUGCCCUGAAGCUGGCUGCGUCCUGAUUGGUCCGAGGCUUUGAGUCCAGGUGACGUGAGAAGGUCACAGGUGGAGGUGGAAACAUUACGCUAUUUGCACCAAAACACAGACACAAAGAGUCAGCACUUUAAUGUGUUCAUUGUUUCAUUAUCUGUUUAUAAAAACAUGUUUGAGUUGGUGUUAAA